rnacentral:tRNA from 1 species
GUCCUCGUAGCUCAACGGAUAGAGCACUUGGUUGCGGACCAAGAGGUUAGAGGUUCGAGUCCUCUCGAGGACGCCU